rnacentral:rRNA from 1 species
AUUGAACGCUGGCGGCAGGCUUAACACAUGCAAGUCGAACGAGUGGCGGACGGGUGAGUAAUGCUUGGGAAUCUAGCUUAUGGAGGGGGAUAACUACGGGAAACUGUAGCUAAUACCGCGUACCAUAGGAUGAGCCCAUGUGGGAUUAGGUAGUUGGUGAGGUAAAGGCUCACCAAGCCGACGAGCUCUAGCUGGUCUGAGAGGAUGACCAGCGACACUGGGACUGAGACACGGCCCAGACUCCUACGGGAGGCAGCAGUGGGGAAUAUUGCGCAAUGGGCGCAAGCUGACGUAGCCAUGCCGCGUGAAUGAAGAAGGCCUUCGGGUUGUAAAGUUCUUUCGGUAGGGAGGCGUUAACUACAGAAGAAGCACCGGCUAACUCCGUGCCAGCAGCCGCGGUAAUAC